CCUUCUUCCAGAGGCUUUGCAGGUGUGGCUGCUCUAUCACAUGUGCUCCAGUAGGUAGCAUUUAAAAGAGAGCCUAUAUCUAUGUUCAGUGUUCUGACCUAUGAACAUCUGAAUGAACAGUAGUCUAGCAUU